UCUCCCGCUUCUCCUCCCUGAGCGGGCGCCUUAACGCCAGUUAAGGCAUCUCUUUCCCCGGCUUUACUCCCCUUUAGCCGGGGAUUUUUUU
rnacentral:ncRNA from 1 species